ensembl:lncRNA
AGGUAUCUCUGUUUUGGAGGUAUCUCUGUUUUGGAGGUAUCUGUUUGACUGUCCCAAUUCAUACUGUAAUUCAAGGUUUAGUUCAGCAACAAUUUGGAGAAGAAAGAAAGAAAGAACGAAGGAUGGAAGUAGUGGUAUGGUGCCAGAUAAGACAGAGGGUAUGACCUGCCAACAUGAGGUGAAGAAAACACACUGGAAAACUGUACACAUUGUGUCCCAGAGAAGACACGAAGGCUUCAGCAAUGUUGUUCUGGGUCAGGAUAAGGUGAGAGGGCUUGUGUAUGAGUGGGUAGUGUGUGAUUCUGAGCACUACAGCACUCCUAUUGUGUAGAAGUGAAUGGAGAAUCCCUGAACUCUGGGGUCUUCUUGAGCAAUGGUUCAUGUGCUUAGUGUUGUUACUGCAGCAAGAUGUCAACAUGACUCCAUGUCUUGUCUCAAUUCAGAGGAAAGCAGCUCUUCAAGCGAAGAUUAAGUCACAAAUCAAUGGUUUCUUUUUCCUCUUCUGAAAAUCAACAACCUUCUCUAUAUAUCUGCUGGAAGAUCUGAGAGCAACAGAUGCAGCCUUCUUUCUUUGAACUGAACGGUGAUGGUAAUGGAGUGCACACUUGUCUAUUCCUGUUAGUUUGUGGUACAAUAUUUAUUGUUAUAGAAAUUAUUUACAUUUGUGAAUACGCAAAUUGUAAUGUAUUGUCAUUUUAUGUGUAUUUAUUUGAUUUGGUCUAUUUAUUUAAAAAAACAAUUAAAUGUAUAUUUAGUAAAUCAAAAAAUGCAACCCUGCUGGUCGAUCAUGGCCAUAAAGAUUUAAAAUAGGAAGUCUUCUACAUCAAUAUUUAAAAAGCUAUUUAGACAACUGUCCACACUUGAUUAUUUUAUAUAUCUUAUUUUAUUUUAAAUAAUUUGUAAACAUUUUUAAUUGCAAAUAUUUUAUAAAUGACAAUGUUUUGAUAAUUUUAUAAAGGUUUUCUCCUUCAUUUAUGCUAUUUCUUUUAUCUGUGUCUUCAGAUACCCACGGCUUAAAAAGAAAGUAUGUAUUUAUUAUUUAUUUCAUAUUAAAUAUUGAUAUGAUUGUAUAUUUAUUUUGUUAUUUAUGUGUGUGUUGUGAUGGCUGAGUAUCAGUAGUGUUAAAAUCCAUUUCUAAUAUUUAAAUACAAUUUUAAAAACCAUGCUCAGAAAGAAUAAAUAGAAUAUUGUUUGAUUACUUAGGCUUUCCUAGAUAUAUCAGCAGUUGUAAAAGCAAAAUAACUAACGAAAGCAAUCACUGUUCUGGUGGUGUCAGAGUGGCUUUGUGUCAUCGAUGAUUUAUUUGCUUUUUGUCAGGAAAAAUAAGACUAAGAAAAUAGACAGAUAUAAGGAUCAAAUGUUACCUCUCCAAGCGCUUUGUAGCGGCCAACACUGGCUUACCCAAAACAUCUUUAAUGUACUAUAGAUGUUUUAAUGCCUUUUGAUAAAUUAUUUUUCUCUUGUCAUUAUUUUCUCUCAAUGUGUUGAGCAGAAGCUCCAAAGAGCUCUGUUCCGGAAUGUUCCGUCUAGACUGGAUGUCUGGGUCUAAGACAUGUAAAGGACAUCUUCAAGAAAAAACUAAACCAUCAAGGAGGAUGACCUCUUUGACAAUUUAUAUCACAUCCACUUCUACGCCCUUGUAGCCUUAUUCUAGAUGACAUUUGUUGAUGCACAAAGUGCCACUACCACUCAGUUUCUUUCCUGAUUCUUUGCAUUCUGCAAUGUACGAUGUCUGGUCACAUGACAUGACCAGGGCGUCACAUGACAUGACCGAGAGUUGGGAUUGUUUCAGAUGCCUUUAUUUCUUUGCCAAGAUGGCCAUAAGUACACUAUAUAUACAUUCUGUAUAAAUAGAAUUUCAAAUGCUAUAUAUAUAUAUAUAUAUAUAUAUAUAUAUAUGAAUAGAAACAUACAUAUAUUUUUCCAGUGUAAUUGUUGACUAUUUUUCUCUUGUAUUAGCUUAUCAAAGGAACAGUAGUUGUUUGAGAGUUGUGACGACUAGAGGUGGUUAUGACUGUGGUUUUAAAGAUACUCAACAAAACCGUCAUUGUUUUUUAGGUUUCCUUUUCUUCUCUAUCCUUGAUCCAAACAUGAUGACGAUAAUAAUAAUAACAAUACAUGGGACUUAUAUAGUGCUUUUUCAAGGACCCAAAGUCGACAUGUUGUAAAUGCUAACGUCUGUUGUAAUGAAUCUGAAAUGACUGUCGUUUUAACUAAAUGGUUGGCUCUUUGUUCAAGUGUCGUGUGAGUGAGUUCAUGUAUAGAGGACUCUUCAUAGUAGUCACAUUGGCUAUAUUGUGCAGUACUGUGUCGUUAUGAUAAGGUUAUGAUCAUGUCAGCCCACUGAGCGGAGUUUUUAAACACGGAUCACAAUGUUAAAAAGCCAAUAGGGAAAGUGUAGUAGAUAGAUAAUAUGAUGAGGUAACCUAGUGGGAGACCCUGUGAUAAUAUGAUGAGGUAACCUAGUGGGAGACCCUGUGAUAAUAUGAUGAGGUAACCUAGUGGGAGACCCUGUGAUAAUAUAAUGAGGUAGCCUAGUGGGAGACCCUGUGAUAAUAUGAUGAGGUAACCUAGUGGGCGACCCUGUGAUAAUAUGAUGAG